rnacentral:rRNA from 1 species
GAUGAACGCUGGCGGCGUGCCUAAUACAUGCAAGUCGAGCGAACGGACGAGAAGCUUUCUUCUCUGAUGUUAGCGGCGGACGGGUGAGGAACACGUGGAUAACCUACCUAUAAGACUGGGAUAACUUCGGGAAACCGGAGCUAAGACCGGAUAAUAUUUUGAACCGCAUGGUUCAAGAGUGAAAGACGGUCUUGCUGUCACUAAUAGAUGGAUCCGCGCUGCAUUCGCUAGUUGGUAAGGUAACGGCUUACCAAGGCAACGAUGCAUAGCCGACCUGAGAGGGUGAUCGCCCACACUGGAACUGAGGCACGGUCCAGACUCCUGCGGGAGGCAGCAGUAGGGAAUCUUCCGCAAUGGGCGAAAGCCUGACGGAGCACCGCCGCGUGAGUGAUGAAGGUCCUAGGAUCGUAAAGCUCUGCUAUUAGGAAAGAACAUAAGUGUAAGUAACUGUGCAGAUCUUGACGGUACCUAAUCAGAAAGCCCCGGCUAACUACGUG